rnacentral:rRNA from 1 species
UACGUAGGGGGCAAGCGUUGUCCGGAUUUAUUGGGCGUAAAGAGCUCGCAGGCGGUUCCGUAAGUCGUGAAGUCAAAUCUCUGGGCUCAACCCAGAAUCGCUUCCGAUACUGCGGUGACUGGAGUCCGGUAGGGGAGUGUGGAAUUCCUGGUGUAGCGGUGAAAUGCGCAGAUAUCAGGAGGAACACCAACAGCGAAGGCAGCACUCUGGGCCGGUACUGACGCUGAGGAGCGAAAGCAUGGGGAGCGAACAGG